AGGGAAAAAAGUGCAGUGCACACCCCAUUCACUCAACACAAAUAUACUGAAUGUCAGGGGCUGUCUAGUGGCUGGGGCCAUGAGAACAAAGAGCCUGUUCUCAUGGCACUAACAUGCCAAUGGGGAAAACAAAAGUAGAACACAUCACGUGAUGACGUCCAACCUAUAAAGACAAAUCAAACACAGCAGGAACAUAGAAGGUCUCUCUGAGGAGGGACACUGGGGCUGAGACCUGACUGGUAGCGAUCUGGAGGAAGAAAGCAGGAAUGUCCUUGGCAUGAUGAGGAACCAGGAGGCUGAAGUGGCCAGAGUGCAGGAAGGAGGGGGAGGAGACCGGAGCUGAGAUCAGAGCGGUACAGAGGCCAGGUCUCCUUGCAGAAGUCUGGAUUUUAUUAUGGUGACAUAGGUCAUUCCUGACUUCAGUCCCCCUCACAAGAAGACCAACCAACAACUACCCAUAGAUGAGAUACCAUUGUGAAAAUCCCAAAACACAGGGGUGAGGCUCAAGAACAUCCUUGGACCACAGAGAGCAGGAAAAAAGAAGAAAAAAAAACGAAACAAAACUGUGUUAGAAAGGGUCUCCAGCUGCUGUGACACGGGAACAUUCAAGCAGCCCUACGGAGAGUUCCACAUGGCAAAUAACUAAGGUCUUCUGCCAACAGCCAGUAAGGAACUGAGGCCUUCUGCUAAUGGUAUGGAGGAAGCCAUCUUGGAGAGGACCCACCGGGCCCAGGCCUUCAGAUGACUGCAGCUUCGGUUGAUGUCUUGGCUGAAAUCUCACGAGAGACCCUGAGCCACAACUACUUAGCAGAGCUGUUCCCAAA